AAUUUUUGACUCCAGCUCUGUUGAAGACUGUAUGUAUACACUAUCCCUUGAAUGCAGACUAGAGCAACAGUAGUUAACACCCAGACCAAUGCCGUGCCAUCUUGCAAGAGAAGAAUCUUGAGGUUUUUUCCAAGUUCCUUGAUGUUAUAAAACAGGAGGUCAUCUUAAAUUCAGAGUCUUCUUCCUUUCAGGUUUCCUGAAAUUUGCAUGGGUAUGAUACAUAGCUCUUCAUCCUUCUUUACUUUGAAGGAUAAUUCAGACCUCCAAGGGGAAUCCAGCAACAGUUACUUCCCCCUCCCUCACCC